rnacentral:misc_RNA from 1 species
GAUGAAGAACGCAGCGAAAUGCGAUAAGUAGUGUGAAUUGCAGAAUUCAGUGAAUCAUCGAAUCUUUGAACGCACAUUGCGCCCUUUGGUAUUCCUUAGGGCAUGCCUGUUCGAGCGUCAUUUAAACCUUCAAGCUCAGCUUGGUGUUGGGUGACUGUCCGCUUCACCGCGGACUCGCCUCAAAAUUAUUGGCGGCCGGUACAUUGGCUUCGAGCGCAGCAGAAACGCGAACUCGGGCCCGUCGUAUUGGCUCCCAGAAGCUAUCUUCACAAUUUUGACCUCGGAUCAGGUAGGGAUACCCGCUGAACUUAAGCAUAUCAAUAAGCGA